CCUACGGGAGGCCGCAGUGGGGAAUAUUUCGCAAUGGGCGAAAGCCUGACGCAGCGACGCCGCGUGAGGGAUGAAGGUCUUCGGAUCGUAAACCUCUGUCAGCAGGGAAGAACGGUCACUGUGCUAAUCAGCAGUGAAUUGACGGUACCUGCAAAGGAAGCACCGGCUAACUCCGUGCCAGCCGCCGCGGUAAUACGGAGGGUGCGAGCGUUAAUCGGAAUUACUGGGCCUAAAGCGCUCGUAGGCGGUAUGUCAAGUCAAGGGUGAAAUCCCCGCGCUCCACGUGGGAACUGCCUUUGAAACUGGCAAACUGGAGUUUGUGAGAGGAUAGUGGAAUUCCAGGUGUAGUAGUGAAAUCCGUAGAUAUCUGGAGGAACAUCAGUGGCGAAGGCGACUAUCUGGCACAUAACUGACGCUGAGGAGCGAAAGCGUGGGUAGCAAACAGGAUUAGAUACCCGGGUAGUC
rnacentral:rRNA from 1 species